CCGCGUGGCCUAAUGGAUAAGGCGUCUGACUUCGAAUCAGAAGAUUGCAGGUUGAAUCCUGUCCGGACGGA
rnacentral:tRNA from 1 species